CGCUCGCGAAUAGGAGACGUCCGUUAGAGAAAGAGAGGUUUUACACGAGGGACAACUUACACAGGUCCCAGUUCAACCCCCGGUUGGGUUUUUCAUAUGGUGGAAGAGGACGGGUGGCCGGAGGGGUUGGCUGUUAUCUUUGGUUAUCUAGCUGUAUGAGUGUUAUUCAUUCUUCAUAAAGCUAGAUAACCGAAAGUAACAAGAAUCCCAUUACACACCUGAAAGGCAUCACCCCACCUUGAGAUCUGUACUCCUCUCCUCUCCUCUUCUCUUUUUCCUCCUAAAUCUCCCUCACUCUCUCUCCUCUUCAAUCUCUGCAUCUUGCGAGAGCAAGUCACAAAAUGGCCUCCAUCAGUGCUGAUUGAGAAGACCAACCAUCCUUGAUGCCAGGGAAAGGAAAGAGUGAAGAAGCGGGGCAGGUCGGAUGUGUGGCUGUAGUCCUGCUGGCGUUGCUGCUCCCCUCCCCUUCGCUGCUCGCCUGCCCCCUUCCUCCCGUCACGAGAUGCAGUUUGCACAAAGCCACCAUCUUAGAGCAAGCGGGCAUUAAAUGGAAGUGGAAAAUAAGCAGGUUUUUAGAGUGAUGACGUGAAAUCCAUUAAAUGGAGGAUCGAAGCUGAAAUGGGCUGACGGAGUCAAACGGGUCUUUACUAUGCAUGUGCCCCAACAUCAGAUAAAAGACAGCACUUUAAUAGUUGUACAUGACUUCAGUCUUUGGCAUUUUUGAAGCAGGGCUAAUGUUGUGAGCUGAGUAUAUGCAUGUGUUUGUGUGUGUGUGUGUGUGGAGAAGAUGAGAGAAACUCUUUGUACAGGUCCGGGUCAAAGUACUCAACACAUUGUGUAUUUGGACAAGCGCACUUGUUUGGGAUUGUUCAAGUAUAAAAAGAUUUAGAAGUAGUUCAAUAAUAAAUGUAAUGUCAUUUUUAAAGGCAUUUAGGUACUUUUUGAUAAAAGGAAAGAGAUUUUAAAAAUGUAUUAUAAUAAAUAUAGCACAGCUCUAUCUAGUCUGUCUUGGUACAAUCUUUAGCAUAAUGCACUUUAUAACACACAAACUGUUUUUUUUUUUAGUUUGGUAGUUUUCAGUAUUAAAGGAAAAUGUAGUGGCCAGUGUGCACUCCCUAAUGUAUCUCUCCAAUAACUGAAUGAAAAUCUAACAUAAAUGAUUAGAAAUGGUGUGUGAGGCUCUGUAGAUUCUGCAUGUAUGAGACCCACGGCAGCUGUGAACGAUACUGCACUCUGAUUGGACAGCUCAGUGUGUUGUGUGUCACACACUUGUUGGACAGAGAGCUGUUGUCUUUAAUUUCUAUGCAAUUGCGUUGGGCUUGCAAUCACCUGGAAGAGAAGGCAGAUCAGAGCGGCUAUUUAUGACAGCAGGUUAAAUCUGUUUUAAGGUGCGAGGAAUAUUUAGCAGAGUAGGUGUGAAUAUUUCAUUCCUACUAAAACUAGUUUCAACAACAAACAUCAGCCACUAAAAAGCAUCUUCAUCUAGCUUUUGCGGUUUUUCAUUUCUGUUGCAGCACUCAAAAUAGAAACAAAUUUAAGGGGUAUUAAAUGCUCUCUAAAUGUCUCUCUGUAUUUUCUGUUACAAUCAAUCACGGCUGAAGAGUUCAGUUCAGUAUGCAAAUGUUUUAAAAAUGUAUUACAAUUUAAAGAGAAUUGUGCAAUCUGUUUUAUAGUAAUUUUCUUAAAAUCGUUUUUAAUUACAGCAUUAUCCUUUCAGUAAAACUGAGAUAAUCUGUUUUUUAUUUCCCUGCUAAAUUUGAUAAAUCAAGUGAAUGUGAAGACAAUGGAUUGAUGAAAUGGGGCCUUUACUAUGCAAUUUAUAACUUCUAGAUUUUUCCAGGAUUUUGUAGAAAGUGAUUUUCAAUUAGUCAUAGUCCUGUAAUGAUAAUUAUAAUUGAAAUCAUACCUUAACCUGUAAUGCUAUAGUUAUAUACAUCAUCUUAUUGUAUGUCUUUCAUGUUGCAGUUGAAUGCAAGUGUAUAAGAUAUUUUUGUUUCCUUUUUUUUGUGUAUUUCCACAUGUGCCUUUUCAAUGUCCUGGUAUGGAUAUUAAUAAAAUUGUACUUCAAAAACAA